rnacentral:rRNA from 1 species
CCUACGGGUGGCAGCAGUGAGGAAUAUUGGUCAAUGGCCGGGAGGCUGAACCAGCCAAGCCGCGUGAGGGAAGACGGCCCUACGCGUUGUAAACUUCUUUUGUCAGGGAGCAAGGUGCAGGUCGGGACCUGCUGUGAGAGUACUUGAAGAAAAAGCAUCGGCUAACUCCGUGCCAGCAGCCGCGGUAAUACGGAGGAUGCGAGCGUUAUCCGGAUUUAUUGGGUUUAAAGGGAGCGUAGAUGGGUUGUUAAGUCAGUUGUGAAAGGUUGCGGCUCAACCGUAGAAGUGCAAUUGAUACUGGCAGUCUUGAGAUGAGGUGAGGUAGGCGGAAUGCGUGGUGUAGCGGUGAAAUGCUUAGAUAUCACGAAGAACCCCGAUUGCGAAGGCAGCUUACUAACCGGUGUCUGACAUUGAGGCACGAAAGUGUGGGUAUCAAACAGGAUUAGAUACCCGAGUAGUC